CCCUUAGAUGUCCUGGGCCGCACGCGUGCUACACUGACGCCUACAGCGAGUACUUCCCAGCCCCGAGAGGUGGCUGGUAAUCAGCAAUAGGCGUCGUGAUGGGGAUAGAUCUUUGGAAUUAUGGAUCUUGAACGAGGAAUGCCUAGUAAGCGCAGGUCAUUAGCCUGCGCUGAUUAAGUCCCUGCCCUUUGUACACACCGCCCGUCGCUCCCACCGAUUUCGAGUGGUCCGGUGAAUCUUUCGGACUGCGCGCGGCCUCGUGCCGUGUCGCGGAAAGUCAGGUAAACCUUAUCACUUAGAGGAAGGAGAAGUCGUAACA
rnacentral:rRNA from 1 species